rnacentral:rRNA from 1 species
UACGGAGGAUCCGAGCGUUAUCCGGAAUUAUUGGGUUUAAAGGGUGCGUAGGCGGCGCGCUAAGUCAGGGGUGAAAGACGGUGGCUCAACCAUCGCAGUGCCUUUGAUACUGGCGCGCUUGAAUGUACCUGAGGUAGGCGGAAUGUGGCAAGUAGCGGUGAAAUGCAUAGAUAUGCCACAGAACACCGAUUGCGAAGGCAGCUUACCAAAGUACGAUUGACGCUGAGGCACGAAAGCGUGGGGAUCGAACAGG